GCUGGAAUGGUGGAAUAGGUAGACACAAGGGACUUAAAAUCCCUCGGAUGAAUAAUCCGUGCCGGUUCGAUUCCGGUUUCCAGCA
rnacentral:tRNA from 2 species